ensembl:lncRNA
GUACUACAUACAGUGCUUUUUACUACUAAUGGCAUCCCUGAGAUAGUCUAUGGUGAUGCAGGAAACUUGAAAAUAAAAAGAUGUUAUUACAGUGAAGGAAAGUCUUACUAUAGGCAGACUAUGGAGGGUGCUGCACUCAGGUCGCUCAUGGGCGAUUCCAGCAGGUCGAUGGCGCUCUGCAGCUCCAGUUUCUUAUACAGAGACACGAUGCUGGACUCUGCUCUGUUGUCCCGGAGCAGGAUCCUCCUCAGCACGCGGUCAUUGAACUUCUUAAACCUGGCAGAAGAAACAAUUCCCAUAAUACACACAGAAUUUUCAGUGAUUUGCUUGAAGAGAUCGUUCUCACUUGUCUUUCCAGUAGUAGUGACUCCACUGUCCACACAAGUCCUCGAUCCCAGAGACAAGGUGCUCCAUGGUCUGAAAACGUAUAAGCCGAGAUGUCAUGAUCAUCAUCAUAGGCCGUUAGUAUUUAUAUGGCAGAGAGGCCCCUCACCCUGGUGUGAAUCUCCACAUUAAUGUUGUACUUUACAUUGUUGCUUCGUCUGAUGUUUAUAUACUCCACAAUGGGACGGAUACUGAUGCCCUGAAAGAGAGGCACGUGUGUUACCACCAUACUUUCCCCAACUUCACUUAGAGAGGGCCUCGCACCUGUAUGAAGACAGUGAAGAUAAUGACGGCGAUGGAGGCAGUGACGAACAGAUUCUUGCGGUUGAUGGUGUCGGGCAGCGUGAACACCAGGGCGAAGCAGACGGCCCCUCUCAGGCCACCGUAGACCAGGCCGAACUGGUCCUGCUUGCUAAACGGGAUGGUCCUAAAAGGGUUGAUGAUCUGGGUGAGCACCAGAAUCCCUGUCACAGACAACAACAACAAUUUCUGUCUAGAGGCCUCUCCAGACGAAGGCGAAGAGCAGUGUGAAGAGGAUGUACGCCCAGUUCCACUCGUGCUUCGUGGUGAUGGUGACCACGCCCAGGAAGAAGAAGAUGAGCGUCUCAGAGAUGCUGGCCAGGACCUUCACCACGUGGCGGAUGGUGGUGCAGGAGCGCUGGGACACGUUCUCCUCCACGUAGUACUUCAUGGUGAUGGCGCACACGAUGAUCCUGGGUACACAACAGGAACCGAUGUUAGUGCAAGAACAAUCACAGCCUGUUUCCUUUGCAUCUCAACCAACAGGCCAAAAGUUAUAUGUCGAGCCAAUUCAAAUUGUGUUUAAAGCCACACUGCGGAACUUUCCAAUAUAUACAAGAAUGAAUUUUGCACUUACGACAGGACGCUGGAGAUGGCGAAGAGCUCGGCUACCAGGUAGGCCAGGUAGCUGUACAUGAAGACGAAGAGAGGCUCAAUCUCCCGGAUUUUGUGAGUGAAGCGCGUGGUGAAGGCAGCCGCAAUGCCGAACAGCAAGCCGAAGAGGAUACCCCCCAGGCUGACCACCAUGAACCGCGCAAUCCCCAAGAACACGUCUGCAGAUUCAACUGUGGGCAUGUCCGCUAUGAAGCUGAACAUGUUGUACAGGACCUGGGGCAAAAGGAGGACCAUCAUUACGCUACUUUUAUUCAUAUGUACAUGUGUUUGUCUGCAUAAUCAAUCCAAACCAGUGCCUGACUUACUUUAUAUAUUCUCUACAGAGUAGCAUAGAGAUUGGAG